AACUUCCCUUUUUCUUUCUGCCUUGCGAACCCCCACCACGAACUCCUUCCCACCCGGCUCCCCUUCUCCCUACCACCGAAUCAGGCGGCCUCCUCUUCUCUCCUCCAGCCUCUCCACCUGACCAGCUCCGUCGGCUCACUCUCCGGCAACCACCGCCAGCGCCACCUCCAUGUCAGGAGAGCACGGGAUGGGAAGGAGCCCGGCCGCUGCCCUCCUCCCUCCCCUGAGCUAGACGCUGUUGGAUUCGGGCUCCCCUGGCAAGGGCACCGCUGGAUCUCGAGUCCGCCGACCCCGACUUCGCCGGAUCCAUGACAGCCCCGCCGCCGCCCAAGCUCCCCGACCCCGCCUUCGCCGGAUCCGGGCCAGCCCCUCCGCCGGGUAAGGCAUUUGGGAGAAGAAGAUUUCUACAUCCCAUAAUUGACUCCAUCCAGCAAGGCUACUCUGAGUCCUGACGGUACAAGCUUCCUCUAAUAAUUACAAAUGAUACAAAAAGCAUGGAGACAAUUACUUCCACUUUUGUAGCUGAAGAUUUGGUUGAACAGACUGCUCUAGAAGCUUCUCAAAACAUGAAUAUAGAUCCCUCAGACCAUGCAAAUGCUCUGCAAAAAGCCAUUGGCAAACAGUACUUCACCAUAGGAAUGAAUCCGGAGUAUUUUUCAAUAUCUCUAUCAAUUAUGUGCUGAAAAAGAGUUAUCCAAUUGACAAUCUAAACUUCGAUACAUUGUUACCAGCCCCACGGGUCACACCACUACUCUUCUCUAAUACUAUCACAUCACUUGAUUAUUUCUUCUAAUAAACUUGCAUUUUCAGGACAACACAAAGAUAUAUUAUCGCUCCAAGCUGCCACCGACAUGAAUUCAUCUCAAAGCUCAAGUACCAAAAGACAGGUUGAUUUUGAGCAGAACAAUGGUGAAGAUAUUCAAAGCAAUGCCAAACCUGAUGCUAAUUACGACAAUGUGAACAAGCGCCACAAACAAAGAUGCAAGUCAAUGUGCAGAGCUGUUGAUGAAUAAGGAUCACACAUGCCCUCCUGAAUGGAUAUGCGCACCUACUGUGCUUCAUGCACAUCCCCCACAUCAGUCAUGAUAAUUACUUCGUUGUGUUUGCGAACUUUUCAAUGAUUUGUGGUGAAGUUGAAUGUA